rnacentral:rRNA from 1 species
UACGGAGGGGGCUAGCGUUGUUCGGAAUUACUGGGCGUAAAGCGUACGUAGGCGGCUUUGUAAGUUAGAGGUGAAAGCCUGGUGCUCAACACCAGAACUGCCUUUAAGACUGCAUCGCUUGAAUCGCGGAGAGGUGAGUGGAAUUCCGAGUGUAGAGGUGAAAUUCGUAGAUAUUCGGAAGAACACCAGUGGCGAAGGCGGCUCACUGGACGCGUAUUGACGCUGAGGUACGAAAGCGUGGGGAGCAAACAGG